rnacentral:tRNA from 1 species
GCCCUUAUAGCUCAGUGGUAGAGCGCAGCACUUGUAAUUCCCCACAAGUACAUGCUGAGGUCCAUCGUUCAAUCCGGUGUGGGGGCA